UACGUAGGGUGCGAGCGUUAAUCGGAAUACUGGGCGUAAAGCGUGCGCAGGCGGUGAUGUAAGACAGAUGUGAAAUCCCCGGGCUCAACCUGGGAACUGCAUUUGUGACUGCAUCGCUGGAGUGCGGCAGAGGGGGAUGGAAUUCCGCGUGUAGCAGUGAAAUGCGUAGAUAUGCGGAGGAACACCGAUGGCGAAGGCAAUCCCCUGGGCCUGCACUGACGCUCAUGCACGAAAGCGUGGGGAGCAAACAGG
rnacentral:rRNA from 1 species